UACCAGGCAGGCAAAAAACCAUAAUGUUUAAUAAUUCUUAAACUUUAGGUAUUUUUUUUAAUUUUUUUUGAAAAUCCCAAUUAUCUUAGGGAAUUGGAAUGUCAGAAAAAGAAGUAAAUGCUGAAAUAGUUGGUGCUUUUCUUCAUUCCCCAGGCUCUCUUUCCUACUUCUUCCUAAAAAAGAAAGCUUCAAUCCAAAGCAUGUUGUUUUUCUCAUGUGAAGAAAUAUUGUUUCUUAUCCUUUACUCAACUAACAAGUGCAUUUACAAAUGAUUUUAACUGUUACAAGAUGGUUUAUUAUCCACUGAAAUUUUAGAAGUCGCAGAAAUUAAAGAAAAUUACUAGUAUCUCUGUUACAGAAAAAACAAACAAACAAACAAACAAACAAACAAAAAACCCAAAUCCACAAGCAGAGAGUUCCUCCUACUUAGUUUCUUUUCUCUGUAUUUUUGGAUACAACUCCAAUCAUAAUUUUGUUUUCUAAAUUCAAACUCACAAACUUUUAAAACAUUAGAUCAUAGGGAGUUUUUCAAAGACACUCUAAGCCCUCUCUGAAGUUACUUUGUAUUGUUUUUAUUUAUACAAUUGAUUUUGAGGUGUGUAUAUGGGAUCUGGAGAGAUGGGUCAGCAUUCAAGAGAGCUUAUAGCUCUUGUAGAGAACCUAUGUUUACAAUCACUGUAAUUCACACUGAGGGAGGGGGGUCUGGCGCCCUCUUCUGGCCACCACCAGGACCUGCACUCACGUGCACAUUCUUUCACACAUGGACAGUUAAAAUAAAACAAGAACGUUUAAGGAUCUGGUGAUAAAAGGUCGGAGUGUGCCUUAAUUUCAGCCUCAUUUCUGGAGGAAGUUUUGGUUAGGUAUAGCAUUCUUUUUUUUUUUUCCAGAGCUGGGGACCGAACCCAGGGCCUUGCGCUUGCUAGGCAAGUGCUCUACCACUGAGCUAAAUCCCCUAGGUAUAGCAUUCUUGUAUUAGAGAAUUUCAGAAAUAAUUUCUGCCUGUCAUUUAGAAUCCAUGGUGAGAGAUUCACAGUCACCUAAAGGACCGCUUCUCUGUGGGUAUCACAUCAUCUUUCUGCAACAGAUUCAAAUGCCCAGCAGAGCUGCCUCUCUGGUCUCUGUAAGCAAAGCUUCCCCUGGGACUCGUUUAGUCCAUACCUGCUACAAAGCUCUAGGGUUUGCUGUCUGGUGUCUAGCUAGGUAAUUCAGGGGUAGGGAUCUGGGAUGCCCACUGCUGUAUCUGUAUUUCUCCCAGUUUUGAUGUCCUUUCUCACUUCAGAUGUUAUGAUUUAUUUUUCAGAGUACUCUGCAGCUCUGCUUCUCUUCUGUCUUGGGUUUUAAUUGCUAUCUGCAGAAGGUUUGGUAGGAUGGACUUCCCAGACAGACUCAAAAGUCUGACAAAUCAUUUUUCAUGGCUGCUUAUUAUUCCAGCAAGCACCUGGACCCUGACUCACUGAAAGUUUCUCCAAUUGGAUUGAAGCCUCUGCCAAACUCCAUAGUCAUGAGUCAAACUGAAGCAAGAUUCCAAUGCAUCAGGACCCGAGUGCUCUUGUGUUACAUCGAAGAGGCAAAAGGACCCUUGGACAAUUCUGGAUGGAGACUGCCUAAACCCUGGGGGUCCUGAGGAUGAGGGCUUAGGGCAGCUUGAGUUAAUUUCCUUCUGCAUCCUCACAGCACGGAAGAGCUCAAAUGGCAGAACCAUCUGAGGAGUCCUGAAGACAGAGUCCUGGAGGCAGAAGACUCUCCUCUCUGGAUUCUUGGAAAGAGUGAUCCUUUCUACAUACCUCUUUGCUUGAUACUCAUGACUUGGACUCAGCUGUAUCAUUGCUGUUUCCUGUGGAACUUCACUGAUGUUUAAGACCAUGGAGGAGUCCACAGGAUGGGCUCAAGGUAUUCUCAUGGCAUUGUUCAUGGUUGGUGCCUUCUCACUUGUGUGCUGCAUUAGCUUCAUUGGGGGCUGAAGUGCUUAAGACUUAGUAAUUGCCCUUAUGUGUUUAAUACAGUGCUAGCAAGAAAGUCAUCACUUUGGACAUAGCAGAAGAAACUGCUGUCUGUCACGGCUUAAAUUGUGUCCUUUUAAAAAGAUGUUCUGGGGCUGGGGAUUUAGCUCAGUGGUAGAGCACUUACCUAGGAAGCGCAAGGCCCUGGGUUCGGUCCCCAGCUCCAAAAAAAAAAAAAAAAAAAAAAAAAAGAUGUGCUGAAGUUCCAAGUCUUGGUGUCUGUGCAUGUAAUGGUCCUCAGAAACAGGGUCUUUGGUGAUGUCAUGAAGUAAGGAUGAAGUCAUUAGGCUUCAUCUGAAUUUAUUAGAAAAGGGAUAAACGCUGGAUAUUGUCCAGCCUUGUAUGGAGAAUACCACAUGGAAACAAAGCUGUGUAAAGAGUGGGCAGAGCUUGGAGGCAAAUGGCCACAACCAGGAGCACCUGUGGCCACCAGAAACAGGAAGAAAUAGGAAGUAUCCUUUGCAGGGUCCUAUGAAGGGUGUGGCCUGGAAUGUAAGGGGUUGGGGACUACACUCUGG